rnacentral:rRNA from 1 species
AUUGAACGCUGGCUGCAUGCCUAACACAUGCAAGUCGAGCGGAUGAAGGGAGCUUGCUCCUGGAUUCAGCGGCGGACGGGUGAGUAAUGCCUAUGAAUCUGCCUGGUAGUGGGGGAUAACGUCCGGAAACGGGCGCUAAUACCGCAUACGUCCUGAGGGAGAAAGUGGGGGAUCUUCGGACCUCACGCUAACAGAUGAGCCUAGGUCGGAUUAGCUAGUGGGUGGGGUAAAGUCCUACCAAGGCGACGAUCCGUAACUGGUCUGAGAGGAUGACCAGUCACACUGGAACUGAGACACGGUCCAGACUCCUACGGGAGGCAGCAGUGGGGAAUAUUGGACAAUGGGCGAAAGCCUGAUCCAGCCAUGCCGCGUGUGUGAAGAAGGUCUUCGGAUUGUAAAGCACUUUAAGUUGGGAGGAAGGGCAGUAAGUUAAUACCUUGCUAUUUUGACGUUACCAAAAGAAUAAGCACCGGCUAACUUCGUG